CAACUCUGCCAGAGGAGGGAUGCAUGCAACACUGGUAUUAUAUUUGUAAUUACAAUGAAUUCUAUCAGUGUGAAUAUGUAACUAAUAUGUCAUGUCUUCUUCACAACAUGUAGCGAUACAUUUAUCCCAUGAAAACACCAUCACAGGAGAUAUCAGCCACUGUUAACUCCAGCCACAGACUGAUGCAUGUUAAUCAACAUAUAGUUAUAAAACAUCUGCUUAAUUCUCAUUGUGUGAACAUGUAACUGUUAAUUAUGUGUUCUCGACAACCUGUGACCAACCACUCAGCCCCCCACUACUCCAAGAAUCAGCUCAUUAUGCCUCCACCCAAAAAGAAAUGCAGAACACACUACACAUGUACCAUCAGUUGUUACUUUUUAAUUAUUUCUCAGCUUUUUUGUAAAAAUAAGUACUUUUACAUAAUUUAAUUUGAUAUCAUCUCCCCAUCCUCCGAGGUGCGCAACCUGGGCGUCAUCUUGGUUACGGGUUUAAUGUGGGUUUGGAAUGAAAGGGCAAAGUCCAAGUUUCUCCACCUUAAGACCAUCUCCAGACUCCGCUCGUCACUCUCAGACUCUGUCGCAGAAACCCUCAUCCAUGCCUUUGUAUCCUCCUGCUUAGACUACUGCAACGGUGUCCUGUUGGGACUUCCUAAAAAAGACCUAGAUCGUCUACAGUAUGUCCAAAACUCAGCUGCCAGAGUGCUCACCCGGACCAAACCUUGGCAGCACAUCACCCCCACCCUCAAACGCCUCCACUGGCUUCCCAUCAGAUAUUGCAUUAUCUACAAACUCCUCCUGCUCACCUACAAAGCUCUCCAUGCCCUAGCCCCACACUAUCUGUCUGACCUCCUCAAGGACUACGUCCCGGC